CGCCAGCCGACGGUAGACAUGAGUUGUCGAGUCCAGCCGUUUCCUCCUCGUUCUGGAAAAUUUCGUUGGAAAACCUCUCGUAUUUCGCUGUGGAGUUACGCACUAUCAACCUGACAAAAAAUGGUGGUGUUGUCUGACAGCAAAGGGUAAAACAAGGAGUGUGGAGAUGACUGUGUGCACCUGUCCUGAUCCAUCAUCUGGGAAUGAAGAAACGAAGAAAGCAACUAGUAGAGAUGUGCCUGCUGAUUCUGCAGUGAAGAAAUGAACUGUCAACAGAAGACAGAGGAGAGUAACACACAUCAUCUUGGUGCCCAGUCACAGGCUUGCUUCUUGUUCAACAAGACUGACAGUCAUCUUGAAGUGACUGCCAUGAAAAGCAAAUGAUGGAGUCAAGAGUGAAAAGUAAAGAGAUUUGAAGUAAGUCACAGAAGUCCAUCAACAAACUGUAUCAGAUGGCUUAUAUCUGGUACAUAGAACAGAAUGGACAGUAGCCUUUUAGCAAGAAUGUAAAGUGGAAGGAGUUCAUGGAGUGAAGGUGCCAUUUAGCAAUGCAAGGGGUUUCCCUUGACAUGAGUGUACUAUUGGAGCUUCUGUUCAUGUGUGAGGAAUAUGAUGAAUGUGAUAAUAAAACUUGGGCUGUUGAAGAAAACUAUAUAAAUAGGUGAGAGCUUUCUGAAAAGUGCAUGCUGAAGUGAACACAACAUUGGUACUGUGAGAGAUGAGGUAAACAAAUGAUGAGUUGUGAAGUGGACUUGGUGCAGGAUAAAUAAAUAAAUGGCAUCACAAAUCCAGCAUCUACAAUAUAAGAACAUAAGAAAUAAGGGAAGCUGCAAGAAACGACCAGGCAUAUUACACACACAUAUUAUAUUUAAUAUAAUAGAUUACAUAGUGUAAAUUGCCACAAACAGCUCUGUUAGGACCAGUAGGUUUGUGUGUGUGUGUGUAUGUGUGUGUGUGUGUGUGUGUGUGUGUGUGUGUGUGUGUGUGUGUGUGUGUGUGUGUGUGUGUGUGUGUGUGUGUGUGUGUGCGUGUGUGAGAUUCACCUACAGUCGUCUGCUGGUCACCCAGCCAGCUGUUAUCCUACAGAAAGAGCUCAGAGCUCAUAGUGACCAAUCUUUGGCUAGGACUGAGACCACUUACACACACACCGGGACAGCAAGGUCAAACCCAUCGGGUUACAUCCCGUACCUGCUUGCUGCUAGGUAAACAGGGGCUACACAUUAAGAGGCUCCUCCAUUUGCCUCGCCACACCCAGGAUUUGAACCUGGGCCAUGUUGGUUGUGAGCCGAGCAUGCUAACCACUGCUCUAUGCGAUGUGUGUAUGUGUGUGAAUAAGAGAGAGAGAGAGAGAGACGGGGGGGGGGUUAGACCUCUCCUACUAUCUCACUUGCCAGUCACAGAAAGGUGUGGAUGGGGCUUAUUUGGUGGGUGUCACCAGCUUAGGUGACAACAGGUAUACCUCACAUAUUCCAUAUUUUUCAUAUCCUAAAUCAACAAUUUAUAUAUCUGAGGAGAGCAGGGUAAGUUGUGCCAGCCCUGCUACAGACUCCAGUUUCACUUCCUCUAAAGUGGUGCUACCUGUUGUUGAAAAUCAAGAUUAAUUGUUAUUUGUGUAGUUGGCUUUAGAAUUUUCUCAAGUACAAAAUUUCUUGGCACAAUUUUUUUUUUUUUUUUUUUUUGCCUUAUUAUUAGACCUCGAGCAAAUAGGUUUAUGGAUACAUUGUAUACAUACAGUAAAUGUAGCAUUUGAUAGUGUGCAUUGUUGUUUUUUAUCAUG